UAUAGUCUGUUAUACACCUGUAUAAAAGACGAGAGCUACGGCGGCCAAAGAUGGGCAUGCGUGCCAUUAGUUAGUUGGUAGGGUAACGGCCUACCAAGGCAUCGAUGGCUACGGGGUCUAAAAGGAUGAGCCCGCACACUGGUACUGAGACACGGACCAGACUCCUACGGGAGGCAGCAGUGAGGAAUAUUGGUCAAUGGGUGGAAGCCUGAACCAGCCAUGCCGCGUGCAGGAAGACGGCCUUAUGGGUUGUAAACUGCUUUUCUACGGGACGAACGGCUCUGACGUGUCAGAGAUUGACGGUACCGUAGGAAUAAGCAUCGGCUAACUCCGUGCCAGCAGCCGCGGUAAUACGGAGGAUGCGAGCGUUAUCCGGAUUUAUUAGGUUUAAAGGGUGCGUAGGCUGGGCAAUAAGUCAGUGGUGAAAGUCCGCGGCUCAACCGUGGGAUUGCCAUUGAAACUGUUGUUCUUGAGUACAGUCGAGGUAGGCGGAAUGUGUAAUGUAGCGGUGAAAUGCAUAGAUAUUACCCAGAACACCGAUUGCGUAGGCAGCUUACCAGCCUGGAACUGACGCUGAUGCACGAAAGCGUGGGGAGCGAACAGGAUUAGAUACCCUGGUAGUCCACGCCGUAAACGAUGAUCACUCGCUGUUGGCAAUAUAGAGUCAGCGGCUGAGCGAAAGCAUUAAGUGAUCCACCUGGGGAGUACGUCGGCAACGAUGAAACUCAAAGGAAUUGACGGGGGCCCGCACAAGCGGUGGAACAUGUGGUUUAAUUCGAUGAUACGCGAGGAACCUUACCUGGGCUUAAAUGUAGCCGUACGAUUCCGGAAACGGGAUUUCCUUAACGGCUGGUUACAAGGUGCUGCAUGGCUGUCGUCAGCUCGUGCCGUGAGGUGUCGGGUUAAGUCCCAUAACGAGCGCAACCCUUAUUCUUAGUUGCCAGCGGGUAGAGCCGGGGACUCUAAGGAGACUGCCACCGUAAGCCCUGAGGAAGGUGGGGAUGACGUCAAGUCAGCACGGCCCUUACGUCCAGGGCUACACACGUGUUACAAUGGCCGGUACAGAAGGCAGCAAACUUGAGAGAGGGCGCGAAUCCAUGAAAGCCGGUCUCAGUUCGGAUUGGAGUCUGCAACCCGACUUCAUGAAGUUGGAUCGCUAGUA
rnacentral:rRNA from 1 species